UACGUAGGGGGCAAGCGUUGUCCGGAUUUAUUGGGCGUAAAGAGCGUGUAGGCGGCCGCACAGGUCCGUUGUGAAAACUGGAGGCUUAACCUUCAGACGUCGAUGGAAACCGUGCGGCUAGAGUCCGGAAGAGGAGAGUGGAAUUCCUGGUGUAGCGGUGAAAUGCGCAGAGAUCGGGAGGAAGGCCGGUGGCGAAGGCGGCGCUCUGGAACAUUUCUGACGCUGAGGCUCGAAAGCGUGGGGAGCAAACAGG
rnacentral:rRNA from 1 species